UCGUGUGUAACUUGUCGGUGAUGUGCUCUAUUCCGUGUAUAUGUUGGAUAACCUUAACAUUUCUCAUCAACUUACAGUCUGAGGAAACGUGAAAGUCGAUACCGUCAGCGUCAGCUAUUUUGUUCAAACUCAUUGUAUUCUACUGAAUGUGUCAUCGAAAUUAUACAGGAUUCAUCUUAAUUAUCGGCUGUUUCUGUUGAACUUGCUAGAUCACCGACCCCAGCAUGGAACAAUCUCUCAUUCCAUCUUAUAGAGAAUCUUGGAUAACUGAUUGGUGAUUUCAUGUGUUUCUAAAUUGGCAUGACUGACUUUAAGUUAUGUCCUUCCAAGAAAAAGGACUUACAACAAGAUUCCUUGUUUGCUAACCUGUUGGCUGCUACCCUUGAAUCUCCCUAUUUGUCAACAACAAAAAAAGAGGUUACAUAUUGUGAUCAUGCCUAUCAUCAUUAUGUUGCCUAUAAGACCAAAUGUGGGGCAUCUGGUUAUCCCUCCAAAAUAAGGUAAUGACCUUACGUUCAACGCGGAUCAUUCGCUUUGUCAUCGAACUUGACUCAUUCCAUCUUCUGGAUUGCUUAGGAAAGCUGAUUGGUGUUACCUGUCCAUUUAGGUAAUGACCGAGGAGAAUAACCUACAUGCACAUCAUUUAGGCAGCCAGCAUCAUUCGACUACCCAACCGGCUUCUACUACCCUGCUCUCAACACAGCACGGAGUUUUACCCUUAGAUUUUUGGCUGUUCGCGAUGUGUGAUGGCGUUUCCUUGGACGAGAUGAUGAUUUUGGGAAGAAAAAUAUUGCGCUAACCUUCAGGUUCCUAAAUAUGAAAAGUAAUGUUCUUUCAAGAAAGUCAAUGAGGUCCCUUACUCCCUUGUUUGCUAACCCAAUGGCUGCUACCCUUGAAUCUCCCUAUUUAGCUCCUUACACAGUCCCUCUUGAUUUUAGGGUAAUCCUUCGCUACUGAUGAUGGACUCCAUUGGUGAAACUGAAAACGACGAGAGAAUGCUGUAAUCCAAGACUGAUAAAUUGUGUAGUUAGAUUAAAUUACAAGUGCAUUCUGGGCUCCCUUCUUUUCUGUGGCCC